AAGGAAUUGUGACUUUGCUUUUGGCUGCUGACUCCUGUAACAGUAUCAUGGUGUAUAAUUAAGAUGUUCCAGUGCUUUUCAGCCUUCUGGAGGAAUCUUCUCUUAUCUUAGUGAUUUAUUUUAGUCUUCUGUUGAGUUGGCAUGCAGUUAGUUCACCAUGCUGUGCUGAUGCCCAGAACAAAAGCCACUUGCAGAGGAUGAAGAGACUGAUGCUCUCACAGGCACAAAGCUGUCCUCUGAAAGUAACUAUUAAUCAAGUACUUUCAGAGCCAGAGCAUGAGGGCCUCUGUGCUUCAGCAGCUACAGUAUGGCUCAAAUGGAUGGUGACUCAAAGAACC